rnacentral:miRNA from 1 species
UAGCAAUAAUGAAGGGCUUGC